AUCAGUAGCUGUUUUGCAUGCUCACUCAAACGUAAUGUAUAUUCUUCCCCCUCGUUCAUUACAUUAUCACACAUGAGUAAGCUUCGCUCACCUAUCUUAUGACCUACAUAUCUUAGGCGUAUAAAUAGAGGGGCGAUAAACUUCACACUAGCACACACAGCAGGCGAUCACUACGUCUCUCACAUACAUCACACCCAACACCAACACACAUUACAUCGCACACACAUUUAUGUAACAGCCACAAAUGUAGAUUUACUUCGAAGACGAGCAGUUGGUUAGCAACACUUCAAGUGAACGACACUGUACUUCAUAUACUCCAAGAUUGAAACAGAACGUGAAGUAGCAGGGAUAAAGUUAGGGCUCGGCGAUAACAUCUGGAUGUAAAGAUGCAGCACGUCAUACCAACUACAUCAAUGACCAGUGAAGGAGAAACAUGUCUCUCUCGCCAGUAUGUCAUGUUCGGGCCGCCCAUUUAGACAUCACGACUCAUUGGGUCUGGCACAGUAUCCUUAUCAGGAGACAUCUGUAAGCACUGUCUUAAACUACAACAGAUCAUACUCCCAACGGUACUACUUGUGACUUAUGGAUUUGUCAGAAACGGGAAUGUUUCGCAUAUCAACUUGCCACCUUAGAAGAAGAUAACUCGGUUUGAUCUGUCAACAUCUUCAUCAUAAUCUACCAACAGCACUGCGCCUGCCAAAAGAUGCCAUCUUUCCUGCGUUUUUUAAUCGGUGGAGACAGCUCUCUUGUUGAACAUACGGGUUCGUGUAAUCUCACACCAGGAACGGUAUAAUUUUGCAAUGAAUCAAUGAAGACUACGAAAAAGACAUCGACAUUGGAAGACACAGCAGAUUGGUGGUAGAAAAGAUGGCGAUGUUGACUGGAGAAAUUCGACAAACAUCUGACGGGGAACAGAAGAACAUGACUGAAAUACACAAACCUUUCUCCUUUUAAUAUCAUCAUUACUUUUAAAUGCACACUACUUUUAUCACUGCGCAUUCCUCUAAGCUUUUGUAUUCUAUGGGUUCGUUAUGUUUUGCAUGAGUAGUAGUAGUAGUAGUGUAGUGUAGUAGUAGUAGUGUAGUGUAGUAGUAGUAGUAGUAG